rnacentral:rRNA from 1 species
AACGAACGCUGGCGGCAUGCCUAACACAUGCAAGUCGAACGCUCUCGGGGCUUUGGUCUCGGGGGAGUGGCGCACGGGUGAGUAGCGCGUGGGAACCUGCCCUUUAGUGGGGAUAACCGAGGGAAACUUCGGCUAAUACCGCAUACGCCCCGGGGCGUGGUCUUCGGAUCAGGCUGUGGGGGAAAGAUUGAUCGCUAAAGGAGGGGCCCGCGUCGGAUUAGCUGGUUGGUGGGGUAACGCUCACCAAGGCGAUGAUCCGUAGCUGGUCUGAGAGGAUGAUCAGCCACACUGGGACUGAGACACGGCCCAGACUCCUACGGGAGGCAGCAGUGGGGAAUAUUGGACAAUGGGCGCAAGCCUGAUCCAGCAAUGCCGCGUGAGUGAUG